CUGGAGACAUUUUUGAUUGUCACAAAUGAUGGGUGUUGUGUUUCUGGCAUGGGUAGAGGGAUGCUACUAAACAUCCUACCGUGCACAGGAUGGCCCUCCACAAUGGAUUCUGUGGCCCCAAAUGUUAAUAGUGCCAAAGUUGAGAGACCCUGGGGUAGAGACGUGUGAUGGGAAGGAAAGAAAAUUACCUUUAGAGCUGCGCGCCGCGGCGGCGGAAGAUGGCUGCGGCCGAGUUGGCGGACACUCAGCUGAUGCUUGGAGUCGGGCUGAUCGAAAAGGACACAAAUGGAGAAGUUCUGUGGGUGUGGUGUUAUCCUUCCACGACAGCCACAUUAAGGAACCUGCUGCUGAGAAAAUGCUGCCUUACAGAUGAAAACAAACUUCUCCAUCCCUUUGUCUUUGGUCAGUACAGAAGAACAUGGUUUUAUAUCACAAUAAUUGAAGUUCCAGAUUCUUCCAUUUUGAAAAAGGUGACUCAUUUUUCUAUUGUCCUGACCGCCAAAGAUUUUAACCCAGAGAAGUAUGCUGCCUUCACUAGGAUAUUGUGUAGAAUGUACCUGAAACAUGGGAGCCCAGUUAAAAUGAUGGAGAGUUAUAUUGCAGUUCUCACAAAGGGGAUAUGCCAGAGUGAAGAAAACGGCUCUUUCCUUAGUAAGGAUUUUGAUGCCCGAAAGGCCUACCCGGCUGGCUCCAUCAAAGACAUUGUAUCUCAGUUUGGAAUGGAAACUGUUAUCUUACACACAGCACUGAUGCUAAAGAAAAGAAUUGUGGUGUAUCACCCCAAGAUAGAAGCGGUCCAGGAGUUCACCAGGACUCUGCCUGCCCUGGUGUGGCACCGACAGGACUGGACCAUCCUUCACUCUUACGUGCACCUCAACGCCGAUGAGCUGGAAGCCCUGCAGAUGUGCACAGGUUACGUCGCUGGAUUUGUAGACUUGGAGGUGAGCAACAGACCAGACCUCUAUGAUGUGUUUGUGAAUCUGGCAGAGAGUGAGAUUACCAUUGCUCCCCUUGCAAAAGAGGCCAUGGCAAUGGGCAAACUGCACAAAGAAAUGGGUCAGCUAAUUGUUCAGUCUGCAGAAGAUCCAGAGAAAUCAGAGAGCCAGGUUAUACAGGAUAUUGCUCUAAAAACAAGAGAAAUCUUUACCAACCUAGCACCGUUUUCAGAAGUUUCGGCUGAUGGAGAAAAGAGAGUCCUUAAUUUGGAGGCGCUAAAGCAAAAACGAUUUCCACCAGCAACAGAAAACUUCCUUUAUCAUCUAGCAGCAGCCGAACAAAUGCUGAAAAUCUGACUGUGUGACAGAACGUAUCACUGAUGACUGAUAGAAAGCCCUCUUUCACUCUGAUUACCCACUCACUACAUGAAGUCCUGAAAAUAACAGAGAAACUGUUAUAUCUUUUUAAUGAUUUAUUUGCAAGUAUUGAGAUUUGACCUGAAAAACAAUGAAACACAUGAACACACUUCCGAUUUUCUCCUCGCUGAUUAGCUUCCUGCCUGCUGUCAGUGCUGGACGAAGUGCUAUAACUACUUUAUGUAACAUUACAGAACAGCUAGAGGUCCUGGGGUAAGAGGAAAAAAGCACAUCACGACAAAUGUGAAAGCCUUCAUUAUUACACGUUCCAGUUUGUCUCGCUGUGUAGGCAUAAGCUAAUGGUUUAUUUUCAGAAAGCUGCCUGAAACGUUGCUUUGUAUUCUUCUAGGAAGAACUUUAAUUUCUCCUGAGGAACUCUACUUUCUGAGCCAAACUGCUAAUUUUCUGCGGAACUGUCUAGAAGAUCAUUCAAGAGACCCUGCAGUUGCACUUUCUCGUAAAAGUUAAAAAAAAAAAAAAAAAAAAGGUUUUUCCCGGCCUUUGAACAUUUUGCCUAUGAGAGUUUUGCAUAUAUUUUAUACUUGAGUAGACAACUUUAAUAAUCCAUAUUUAUACUAUCGCAGAAGUAAGCAUUUGGCAAACGUUCAGCCAUUAGCACUCAUUUAACCCUGUUAGCAAUAUUCUUUUGAAAAAAGUGCCAGUCCUUAUGUGAUAAACUAAGAAGCCCAUUGAAUAUAAAAGUGUGUAGGACUGAAACAGUGACCUUAUAUUAUUGCUAAGGGAAUAUGAGAUUAACUUCCUACAGGGGCCAAAACCAGAGAAAGGCUUCCAGCAACUUCAGUGAAAGUAGUUUGGCCACAUGUCAAGCCAAUUGUUUGUAUUAUUUAUGUACCUUUUUCAUAACUGGAAUUGCCAAAUAAGCAUGGAGGUCUAAAUGAUGUACUUGUUAGUGUAUUCAUUCAUAUUGAUUGUAAAGGAUUAUUUUUCACUCAGUACUGAUGUCCUUGGAAAUCUUACCUGGAAACAUGUUUGCAAAAAACAUUAUUGGAUCUUUCAUCUUUUUCUUGGUAUUACAUAUUUGUUCAAUAAAAAUUAAACACCCUCCCUUUUUUUUGAGUGAGGGCAGGGAGUACCUGAAAUAAGACAAUGUUUACUAAGGCAAAUAAUUGAAAAUUAAAUCUGCACUUUAUGGAAA